UACGUAGGGUGCAAGCGUUGUCCGGAAUUAUUGGGCGUAAAGAGCUCGUAGGUGGCUUGUCGCGUCUGCCGUGAAAGCCCGUGGCUUAACUACGGGUCUGCGGUGGAUACGGGCAGGCUAGAGGCUGGUAGGGGCAAGCGGAAUUCCUGGUGUAGCGGUGAAAUGCGCAGAUAUCAGGAGGAACACCGGUGGCGAAGGCGGGUCUCUGGGCCGAUACUGACGCUGAGGAGCGAAAGCGUGGGGAGCGAACAGG
rnacentral:rRNA from 1 species